ACGCCUAGAGGGCAGCCAGGUGAUGAUGCUGCUCCUGCCUUGCAUGUGCUCUGCCCAGUGCUCAGCAGACCUCCCUGAGCCUUGUAUACACUCAAUAUGCAAGAAGCCCUGGAAGUUCCCAAGGUGUGUUUCCAAGACCCUACACCAGCCUGGCUGAAACAGGACCAGAUCAUCUCUCAAAUCUCCAUCUCAUGGUCUUGGUGGCCACCUGCUGCCUGAAGCUAGGGCUACAGAGGCGGGAGUGAAGAAGGACUCACCUGCCCAGACUGAAGCCACAGAAUCCAGGGAGCCAGCCUCAAGGUCCAGUCAAGCAGUGCUCAGACUUACUGCUAGGAUUUAGAAGAAAACAAAAGGGGAUGAUGAGGAAUUGCAGAUUUGAAACUAAGCUGGCGGGUUUAGGGUCUCUUCUGUACCAUGGGUUUUGUGGAGGCUCUAAUUCUGUGGUCUUUUUCCAGAAUGCUAUGUUCUUAGUCACUAAUUUGCCUUAUGUGACUUGACUAAUUAGUACCCUCAGGAUGGGAAAGGCCUUACAUGAGCAGCAGGAAAUUUUUGGGGUCUGAGAAAAGGUGGCUGAAAGAAAGGGAAGGAUCUGAUAGGGGAGUGAAGAGUGUUAACGUAACUUUGGCUCCCUUCUCCAUGUUUAUGCUGUCAGCAGAAAAACCAAACUCUGCACAACAUUUCAAAGAGGUUUAUUCUAGGCCAAUAUGAGUGACCACGGCCCAGGGAAAACACAAACCCAAGAGGCCAUGAGAAAGGAGUCCCAAGGCAGUCGGACUGUAACUCUGUUUUAAGCAUUUCAGGGCAGCAGAAACUACAGGCAAAGUUGUAAAUUGAUACAUGGAGGUUUAUACAUUGGUUCAGCCCCAAGAGGUGGGAUAUCAUGAAUUGGGGGACUUACAGGUCAUAGGUGGGAUCAAAGAUUCUUUAAUUUGUAAUUGGUUAAAGGAACAAAGCUCUGUGUAAAGUCAGCUUAAAGAAAUGUUUACAUGAAAGGAAGGAAGUUUGCUAGUCAUCAUGUGAUGCUAUGCCAGAGUCGGGUUAUGAGAGCAAGAUACAAUAUAUUGGGUCAAAAUGACAUGUUUAGCCAGAUUGAUGGUCUGUAGGUAUGACUCUCUCCAGGCCUUUUUGGAGAGAAUUUUUAGCAAAGAGAAAGAGGUCAGAGUUCAGUCCUCAAUGAUCUCCACAAAGACUGCUCUGCCUGAAACUUGUGAUAUAAAUCAUGCCGUGGGACAUGGGCCUGCUCCUCUCCAAGGGCCGUUGGCUGGGCCUCUUAGGGUUCAAACCAGAAUCUCCUGAUUCUCACUCUCAUACGAUAUUAUGCAAAGAAAAACUCCCUUUUGGAAAAACCCCCUUCUGGAAUCCUUAAUUUGGCAAUCUUCCAAUUUGCUCAACAUACUAAAAAAAAAUUAAAGAGGUAAGUGUGUAUGUAUGUGUAUGUGGGGGGACGCCAGGGAUGAGUGGGGAGAGGGUGUCAUGUGGCCCACGCACUGCACAGUUCUCCGGCUACUUUCUCUCCCAACUCUGAUUGGACUGGAGCGGACAUUAAUGCUCACUCCAGCCUCAUCACCUCUCCAGAGAGCUGACACUGCUUGGGAAGCUAAAUUGUUCUUUUUGAAGGGAGAAUUACAUAUGAGAGACUGAAAAUCGAAACAAACUAAAAAGGAUGCAAGCUCACUAUGAAUUAGUUAAGUCUAUUGCGUUAUCUUAUGGCAAGUUUAUAACUUUCUCCCUGAAUUUUGGGUUCCCUUGGUUGGAGAAGGGAAAUGUAGAUGUGUUCCCUAGGACUACCAUAACAAAGUAC
rnacentral:lncRNA from 1 species